AUUGAACGCUGGCGGAAUGCUUUACACAUGCAAGUCGAACGGCAGCACGGACUUCGGUCUGGUGGCGAGUGGCGAACGGGUGAGUAAUGUAUCGGAACGUGCCCAGUCGUGGGGGAUAACGUAGAGAAAAUUACGUUAAUACCGCAUACGUUCUAUGGAUGAAAGCGGGGGAUCGCAAGACCUCGCGCGAUUUGAGCGGCCGAUAUCAGAAUAGGUAGGUGGUGGGGUAAAGGCUCACCAAGCCAACGAUCGUUAGCUGGUCUGAGGUGACGACCAGCCACACUGGAACUGAGGCACGGUCCAGACUCCUACGGGAGGCAGCAGUGGGGAAUUUUGGACAAUGGACGCAAGUCUGAUCCAGCCAUUCCGCGUGCAGGAUGAAGGCCCUCUGGUUGUAAACUGCUUUUGUACGGAACGAAAAGGUCUCUCUUAAUACGGGGGACUCAUGACGGUACCGUAAGAAUAAGCACCGGCUAACUACGUGCCAGCAGCCGCGGUAA
rnacentral:rRNA from 1 species